rnacentral:tRNA from 1 species
GGGGUUGUGGCUCAGUGGUAGAGCGUUCAUCUCCCAUGUGCGAGGCCCUGGGUUCGAUCCUCAGCACCACA